UACGUAGGGCGCAAGCGUUGUCCGGAAUUGUUGGGCGUAAAGAGCUCGUAGGCGGCUUGUCACGUCGGGUGUGAAAGCCCGGGGCUUAACCCCGGGUCUGCAUUCGAUACGGGCUAGCUAGAGUGUGGUAGGGGAGAUCGGAAUUCCUGGUGUAGCGGUGAAAUGCGCAGAUAUCAGGAGGAACACCGGUGGCGAAGGCGGCAUCCUGGACCGACAUUGACGCUGAGGAGCGAAAGCGUGGGGAGCGAACAGG
rnacentral:rRNA from 1 species